rnacentral:piRNA from 1 species
UCCCACUCCACUCCAAGGAUCCAACAGCGC